rnacentral:rRNA from 1 species
CCUACGGGGUGCAGCAGUGGGGGAUAUUGCACAAUGGGGGGAACCCUGAUGCAGCGACGCCGCGUGGGUGAAGAAGCGCCUCGGCGCGUAAAGCCCUGUCAGCAGGGAAGAAAAUGACGGUACCUGAAGAAGAAGCCCCGGCUAACUACGUGCCAGCAGCCGCGGGAAUACGUAGGGGGCAAGCGUUAUCCGGAUUUACUGGGUGUAAAGGGGGCGCAGACGGCGAUGCAAGCCAGGGGUGAAAGCCCGGGGCCCAACCCCGGGACUGCUCUUGGAACUGCGUGGCUGGAGUGCAGGAGGGGCAGGCGGAAUUCUUGGUGUAGCGGUGAAAUGCGUAGAUAUCAGGAGGAACACCGGUGGCGAAGGCGGCCUGCUGGACUGCAACUGACGUUGAGGCCCGAAAGCGUGGGGAGCAAACAGGAUUAGAUACCCGAGUAGUC